AUACAGCAUAUGAUCUCUGUCUGUUCAGGCUGCAUCUUGCUCUUGUCUCAGAAGAAGAAAGGAGUGCUGCUUUCCUGGGGAAUGCUAUUUGAGAAAGAAAGUAACCUAACACUAACUGCAGGCGGGGUCAGAGUGAUGUAACAGGAAGCUCUGAUGUUUCCCUUCUGCUGCUGAGCACAUACAAUGUGACAACACUUCCAAUCUACUCAGAACAGUCCUCUCUCUCCAGCAAAGAGUGUCACCUCCUGCUUUAGGAUCAUCCAGCUCUGCUAACUGGACCUCACCCUGCCUGCAGGAUCACAUUGCAAGGCUCUCCCUCUUCCCCACCUAGCCUGGGGGUAAAUCUCCCCUGCGGAAUCUCAGAAAAUCAAAUUCCAUCCUAAGAAUAUCUCACCAAGAAUUUCCUUAGGAGCUGUGCUGGAAAUCCUUGGCAAUAAUUCAGAUGUUAUUCUUAGAAGUAGCAGCAAAUUGAUAAUCCAUAAGGAACCAUUGGCCAAGUCAUCCUAUCUACCAGGAGCAACCUUUCUGCUGAAC
rnacentral:lncRNA from 1 species